rnacentral:rRNA from 1 species
UACAGAGGGUGCGAGCGUUAAUCGGAAUUACUGGGCGUAAAGCGUGCGCAGGCGGUGCUGUAAGACCGAUGUGAAAUCCCCGGGCUUAACCUGGGAACUGCAUUGGUGACUGCAGCGCUGGAGUAUGGCAGAGGGGGGUGGAAUUCCACGUGUAGCAGUGAAAUGCGUAGAGAUGUGGAGGAACACCGAUGGCGAAGGCAGCCCCCUGGGCCAAUACUGACGCUCAUGCACGAAAGCGUGGGGAGCGAACAGG